UUAUGUUUUAAAACAUGAUUAUUCUUAAAAAAAUUAAACUAAGAGAACCUGAUUAAACCGAACCGAAACACAAAUCAAACCGAAUAAAAAUCGAACCAAAACUGAUCCAAACCAAAUUAAUUAUGGUUUACUUCAGCUAUAAAAAAUUCUAGAACCGAAUUGACCAAACCAAACCGAUAAAAUUACCUAAGUGCCCACAUUUGUUACCACAUGAUUUAAUACUUUUAUAUAUCCCACACAUCUAAAAUAAUAAUGGCCUGGGCCUAUUUAAGUUUAAUGAGAAGUAUAUGUUGCACAAAAAAAUAAUAUCCCACACAUCUAAAAUAAUGUUCGAGCAACCAACUGUGCCUAAAACCUAUCAAUUAUUCCACCAACUUUAUGUGUACUUCGAUACUUCUCUUUACAAAGGGAGUCGAACCUCAUUGUGUUUCAAAACAUAAUCCCAAGUUGCAUUGUUUAUAAGAGUCGAACCUCCUUGAGUUUCAAAACAUAAUUCCAAGACGCAUUAUUUAGGAGCGCAUUGAUUUGUUUAUAUAUAACAUUUUCUCAUUCCCUAACACUUUUUGCUUCAUCAUACGGUAAUGAUUCAUCCUCGUAUAAUAGUAUGAGUACAUUUCAAUAAUUGAUCUGAAAUUUUCUACCUCUAAUCUUCUUAUUUUCUACCUCUAAUCUUCUAAUUUUGGU
rnacentral:lncRNA from 1 species